CGCACAGCUCAGUAACACGUGGCUAACCUGCCCUUGGGACGAGACCAACCCCGGGAAACUGGGGCUAAUCCUCGAUAGGUAAAGAACUCUGGAAUGAGUCUUUGCCUAAAAGACGUUGGAUCAUGCUUCCAGCGCCGCCCAAGGAUGGGGCCGCGACCGAUCAGGUUGUUGGUGAGGUAAUGGCCCACCAAGCCUAUAACCGGUGCGGGCCGUGAGAGCGGGAGCCCGGAGAUGGGCACUGAGACAAGGGCCCAGGUCCUACGGGGCGCAGCAGUCGCGAAACCUUUGCAAUACACGAAAGUGUGACAGGGUCAUCCCGAGUGCCGACCGCUGAGGUUGGCUUUUACCCAGUCUAGAAAGCUGGGGGAAUAAGGAGAGGGCAAGUCUGGUGUCAGCCGCCGCGGUAAUACCUGCUCUCCGAGUGGUGUGGACGUUUAUUGGGCCUAAAGCAUCCGUAGCUGGCUGAACAAGUCCCCUGUUAAACCCACCGAUUUAAUCGUUGGUCUGCGGGGGAUACUGCUCGGCUAGGGGACGAGAGAGGCAGACGGUAUUCCCGGGGUAGGGGUGAAAUCCUAUAAUCCCGAGAAGACCACCAGUGGCGAAGGCUGUCUGCUAGAACGCGCCCGACGGUGAGGGAUGAAAGCUGGGGGAGCGAACCGGAUUAGAUACCCGGGUAGUCCCAGCUGUAAACGAUGCAGACUAGGUGUUUGGACGGCCACGUGCCGUUCUAGUGCCGCAGGGAAGCUGUU
rnacentral:rRNA from 1 species